AUUGAACGCUGGCGGCAUGCUUUACACAUGCAAGUCGAACGAUAACAGGUUAAGCUGACGAGUGGCGAACGGGUGAGUAAUGCAUCGGAACGUGCCCGAUCGUGGGGGAUAACGCAGCGAAAGCUGCGCUAAUACCGCAUACGAUCUGAGGAUGAAAGCGGGGGACCGUAAGGCCUCGCGCGAUCGGAGCGGCCGAUGUCAGAUUAGGUAGUUGGUGGGGUAAAGGCUCACCAAGCCAACGAUCUGUAGCUGGUCUGAGAGGACGACCAGCCACACUGGGACUGAGACACGGCCCAGACUCCUACGGGAGGCAGCAGUGGGGAAUUUUGGACAAUGGGCGAGAGCCUGAUCCAGCAAUGCCGCGUGCAGGAAGAAGGCCUUCGGGUUGUAAACUGCUUUUGUACGGAGCGAAAAGGCUCUCUCUAAUACAGGGGGCUCAUGACGGUACCGUAAGAAUGAGCACCGGCUAACUACGUGCCAGCCGCCGCGGUAA
rnacentral:rRNA from 1 species